rnacentral:rRNA from 1 species
GUCUGCAACUCGACUCCAUGAAGCUGGAUUCGCUAGUAAUCGCGCAUCAGCCAUGGCGCGGUGAAUACGUUCCCGGGCCUUGUACACACCGCCCGUCAAGCCAUGGGAGUCGGGAGUGCCUGAAGUUCGUGACCGUUUAGGAGCGACCUAGGGCAAGACUGAUGACUGGGGCUAAGUCGUAACAAGGUAAC